GUAGGUGGCAAGCGUUGUCCGGGAAUUAUUGGGGCGUAAAGCGCGCGCAGGCGGUUCUUUAAGUCUGAUGUGGGAAAGCCCACGGGCUCAACCGUGGAGGGUCAUUGGAAACUGGAGAACUUGAGUACAGAAGAGGAAAGCGGAAUUCCACGUGUAGCGGUGAAAUGCGUAGAGAUGUGGAGGAACACCAGUGGCGAAGGCGGCUUUCUGGUCUGUAACUGACGCUGAGGCGCGAAAGCGUGGGGAGCAAACAGGAUUAGAUACCCUGGUAGUCCACGCCGUAAACGAUGAGUGCUAAGUGUUAGGGGUUUCCGCCCCUUAGUGCUGCAGCUAACGCAUUAAGCACUCCGCCUGGGGAGUACGGCCGCAAAGGCUG
rnacentral:rRNA from 1 species